AAGUCAAAAUCCCCUCCAAUCCGUAUCAAUCCCCUUCAAUCCAUAUGGAUUGAAAAUAACCGAACAAGCCCUGAGUCGGGGUGCGAAGCCCCCCGAGCAGUCGAGUACUACUAGGAAGAGGGUAGAUAACCUUGCGAGUCCGUGGCACAAACGACCUUGUUUGCUAGAUGCCUCGGCUGAUGCUCCAGAGGUUAAGAAGAAAAGGAAGCUCCAGUGUUCGUUGGACAUGCAGCCGAUGUCUACCCAAGCUAAGCUAGACAUCAGCGAUGAUGUGGUGGAUGCUGGUUUGGUGGAUGAUGUGGAAGGUGGAGGCAUGGUGAAGACAGUCAGGUAUGUUGGGGAGGAAAUGGAGGAAGAUGAUGAUGAUGAUGAGGUGCUCCCACUAGUCCGGCGCGAGCGGCGUUCUAAGGCUCAAAGUGAUGCUUCAAGUCUUGUAGCCCAAUGAGACUGGUGGACAUCUAGGGUUUGUCCAUGUCAGUUGUGGAUUGUAUUCUUGAAGAGGCCAUUCCAAAGGCGCUGCUACGUGAAUUAUCCGAGAUAAAUGCUAUUGAUGUUGCCAUAGUUCGCUCGGAUGAAGUAUCUCAUGUUGGUUUGUUGGCUAGGCCAGAAGUAAGCCUGCCAUUUCCCUAGGGAGUUCUUGCAUUAGUCGGCUAUGCCGCCGAUCCAGUCCUGACCCUAGAGGGCGCUCCAGCCCCCGAGGGUGCUCUAGCCCUCGAGGGUGUCGUGCUUGGUUCUCCUUCUGCUGCUUCAAUGGAAGUUCAGGUUGGGUCGCUAAUGCCUCCGAUUGACGAUGCUGUGGCAACAAGUUCUACCCUGCCCAUCAGAUCUCGUCCAGACGAUCCAACCACUUUUGGAGGUUAGUGGUUCUGGUGCUGGUGCUGGUAAGUCUUUGCCAUCCCCCUUGGUUAAAGAGGCCACCCCGAGUCAAGUUCCUGAAGAUGCUACAACAACUUCGACCAGCGUUGGGAUCCCAAUGGGUGUUGCACUUCGUCUGGGGGAUUUGGAGCCUUUGGCGCUUGUUCCUACUUCCUUUGUGGCUUCUACGGAUGUUGCUACUUCUGGGCUAUCUUGGCUUCACCAGCUUUGGAUCUUCCAGUGUUUCUAUUGAAUUUGCAGGGCGUUUUGAAUCAGGUGGCCGUUCAGCUGAAAGUACAGGCAGCUUAGGUGCCCGAACAGAUAUCUUCUUUGUCGUAGUGGGAUCCUACUGUUCUUCAGAAGCAAAUAGAUGACCUGAAGGUUGCUAAUGUUGCUACGACUCGGUAGUGCUUUGAUGCUGAGUAGAGGUGCGCCCGAAGCUAGGCAGAGCUUAACCAAGUUACUGGGUUCCUUGAUGGCGCCCGUGCAAUGAGCUCCUCCUUGCAGUCGAAGUUAGACAUGGAAAAUAAAACUCACGAGGAGGAUAUCCAGAGGCUAAAGGAUGAAAAUCGAGCGUUGCUCUCUUCUCAAAAUAUUUUGCACAAGCUAUGCAGGGAUGCCACCAACUCCCUUACCACUUUGGAGAGGAGCCACCGAUUUACCAUGGAGGAGCUAGAGCGUAAGAGAGAUGAACUGAGGGAUUCCUAGGAUGAAGUGUCAGCGCUUAGCAGUUCGUUGUCCUCCAAACAUUCUAUCAUCAAUGACCUUCGUGCUUCGAAGAAAAUUUUGUCCCAAGAGUUGGAUACCGCCAAACGGAACAUUAAGGUCUUAGAGGGUGACCAUGAAGUUCUGAAGGCGGGGUAUGAUAAAGCGAUGGAUAAGGCGGUUCACGUGGGUUGUCUUCUAAUGAAGAAACCCAGUGUUGUGGCCCCUGAUGACAUUGUUGCAGAUGUUCUAGCUGCAUCGGGGAUUGCGGCUAAAGCUCUUGCCCCGGUGAACCCAAGGUUGAUUCCACUCCUGGAGGUGCUUCUACCUAAGUGCAUGAUGUAUUGUAAAUAAUUGUUGCUUGUGUGGGAGGUGCCCCUCCCCUCUAUGAAUGUAUUGAUAAUUAGUUUAAAUCUAAUCUUUAAGGUUGCUUCCCCCUUUCUUUGA